rnacentral:rRNA from 1 species
UACGUAGGGUGCAGGCGUUAUUCGGAAUUACUGGGCGUAAAGCGUGCGCAGGCGGUUUGCUAAGACAGGUGUGAAAUCCCCGAGCUUAACUUGGGAAUUGCGCUUGUAGCUGGCAAGCUAGAGUGUGGCAGAGGGGGGUGGAAUUCCACGUGUAGCAGUGAAAUGCGUAGAUAUGUGGAGGAACACCGAUGGCGAAGGCAGCCCACUGGGAUAACACUGACGCUCAUGUACGAAAGCGUGGGUAGCAAACAGG